CACUCCUACGGGAGGCAGCAGUGGGGAAUAUUGGACAAUGGGCGCAAGCCUGAUCCAGCCAUGCCGCGUGAGUGAUGAAGGCCCUAGGGUUGUAAAGCUCUUUCACCGGUGAAGAUAAUGACGGUAACCGGAGAAGAAGCCCCGGCUAACUUCGUGCCAGCAGCCGCGGUAAUACGAAGGGGGCUAGCGUUGUUCGGAUUUACUGGGCGUAAAGCGCACGUAGGCGGACUAUUAAGUCAGGGGUGAAAUCCCGGGGCUCAACCCCGGAACUGCCUUUGAUACUGGUAGUCUUGAGUUCGAGAGAGGUGAGUGGAAUUCCGAGUGUAGAGGUGAAAUUCGUAGAUAUUCGGAGGAACACCAGUGGCGAAGGCGGCUCACUGGCUCGAUACUGACGCUGAGGUGCGAAAGCGUGGGGAGCAAACAGGAUUAGAAACCCGUGUAGUCCCAU
rnacentral:rRNA from 1 species